rnacentral:rRNA from 1 species
CCUACGGGAGGCAGCAGUGGGGAAUUUUGGACAAUGGGGGCAACCCUGAUCCAGCCAUUCCGCGUGAGUGAAGAAGGCCUUCGGGUUGUAAAGCUCUUUUGUCGGGGACGAAACGGUUACGAUUAAUACUCGUGACAACUGACGGUACCCGAAGAAUAAGCACCGGCUAACUACGUGCCAGCAGCCGCGGUAAUACGUAGGGUGCGAGCGUUAAUCGGAAUUACUGGGCGUAAAGCGUGCGCAGGCGGUUUUGUAAGCCAGAUGUGAAAUCCCCGGGCUUAACCUGGGAAUGGCAUUUGGGACUGCAAGGCUAGAGUAUGGCAGAGGAGACUAGAAUUUCUGGUGUAGCAGUGAAAUGCGUAGAUAUCAGAAGGAAUACCGAUGGCGAAGGCAGGUCUCUGGGUCAAUACUGACGCUCAUGCACGAAAGCGUGGGGAGCAAACAGGAUUAGAUACCCUGGUAGUCCACGCCCUAAACGAUGUCAACUGGUUGUUGGGAGAUUUAUUCUCUUAGUAACGAAGCUAACGCGUGAAGUUGACCGCCUGGGGAGUACGGUCGCAAGAUUAAAACUCAAAGGAAUUGACGG